UACGUAGGGGGGCGAGCGUUUGUCCGGAUUUAUUGGGCGUAAAGAGCUCGUAGGCGGCUUAGCAAGUCGGGUGUGAAAACUCCAGGCUCAACCUGGAGACGCCACUCGAGACUGCUAUGGCUAGAGUCCGGUAGGGGACCACGAAUUCCUGGUGUAGCGGUGAAAUGCGCAGAUAUCAGGAGGAACACCGGUGGCGAAGGCGGUGGUCUGGGCCGGCACUGACGCUGAGGAGCGAAAGCGUGGGGAGCAAACAGG
rnacentral:rRNA from 1 species